rnacentral:rRNA from 1 species
GUCUUUUUGUUAAUAAUUUAAAGUCUAAUCUGCCCACUGAUAUAUUUAUUAAAGGGCUGCAGUAUUUUGACUGUACAAAGGUAGCAUAAUCAUUAGUCUUUUAAUUGGUGACUUGUAUGAAAGAUUGGAUGAAAUAUAAACUGUCUCUUUUAUAAAAAAAAAUUGAAUUUAAUUUUUUAAUUAAAAAGUUAAAAUUAUUUAAAAAGACGAGAAGACCCUAUAGAGUUUUAUAAUUUAUUUUGUAAAUAUUUUUAUUUUUAUAUUUUUAUAAUUUUAAAUUAUUUUGUUGGGGUGAUAAAAAAAUUUAAUUAACUUUUUUUAAUAGUUUACAUUAAUAAGUGAUUAAAUGAUCCAAUUUUAUUGAUUAAAAGAAAAAAUUACCUUAGGGAUAACAGCGUAAUUUUUUUUUUAGUUCAAAUAAAAAGAAAAGUUUGCGACCUCGAUGUUGGAUUAAGAUAAAAUUUAAAUGUAGAAGUUUAAAAUUUUGAUCUGUUCGAUCAUUAAAAUCUU